rnacentral:rRNA from 1 species
UAUGCACUACUCUUUUUAGUACGAAAGGACCAAAAGAGUGAAACCUAUGCCCUAAGCAAGUUUCCCUGCCCUAUGAAGAAAUAUCAAAUUAACAGUACCAACCCCCCCCCAGAACAGGGC